rnacentral:rRNA from 1 species
ACUCCUACGGGAGGCAGCAGUGGGGAAUAUUGGACAAUGGGGGCAACCCUGAUCCAGCCAUGCCGCGUGUGUGAAGAAGGCCUUUGGUUGUAAAGCACUUUAAGCAGGGAGGAGAGGCUAAUGGUUAAUACCCAUUAGAUUAGACGUUACCUGCAGAAUAAGCACCGGCUAACUCUGUGCCAGCAGCCGCGGUAAUACAGAGGGUGCGAGCGUUAAUCGGAAUUACUGGGCGUAAAGCGAGUGUAGGUGGCUCAUUAAGUCACAUGUGAAAUCCCCGGGGCUUAACCUGGGAACUGCAUGUGAUACUGGUGGUGCUAGAAUAUGUGAGAGGGAAGUAGAAUUCCAGGUGUAGCGGUGAAAUGCGUAGAGAUCUGGAGGAAUACCGAUGGCGAAGGCAGCUUCCUGGCAUAAUAUUGACACUGAGAUUCGAAAGCGUGGUAGCAAACAGGAUUAGAUACCCCUGGUAGGAUAGCG